GCCCACUCUAACGUUGUGUAUUCAUACGCAAACAUCUGUGUACGUUGUUAUUGGUAUUAAUAUAUAUCUUUGAGCAUUAUUUUUGAUAGAAAUUUAUUUAUAAUGAAUGGCAAUAAUUUAUUUUGAAUUUAUUGAACCAUAAAAUUAAUUUUUGACUGUUCACAUUUAACAUAAUCCACUUCGCGGAUUAUUCAAUGUGAAGAGUCAAAAAUUAAUUUUAU
rnacentral:lncRNA from 1 species